UACGUAGGAGGCAAGCGUUGUCCGGAAUUACUGGGCGUAAAGCGCGUGUAGGUGGUGGGACAAGUCUGCUGUGAAAGCGCCUGGCUUAACCGGGCGAGGUCGGCGGAAACUGUCCGACUCGAGGACGGUAGAGGGGGGUGGAAUUCCCGGUGUAGUGGUGAAAUGCGUAGAGAUCGGGAGGAACACCUGUGGCGAAGGCGGCCAGCUGGGCCGGACCUGACGCUGAGACGCGAAGGCGUGGGGAGCGAACAGG
rnacentral:rRNA from 1 species